AGAGUUUGAUCCUGGCUCAGGACGAACGCUGGCGGCGCGCUUAACACAUGCAAGUCGAGCGAGAACCGAGGCUUCGGCCUCGGGGACAGCGGCGAACGGGUGAGUAACACGUGGAUAACCAGCCCUCGGCACCGGGAUAGCCCGGGGAAACCCGGAUUAAUACCGGAUGGCCCUUCCGACUCUCGAGUCGGUCGGAAAAGGUAGCUUCGGCCUCCGGCCGAGGAUGGGUCCGCGGCGGAUUAGCUUGUUGGUGGGGUAAUGGCCCACCAAGGCUCCGAUCCGUAGCUGGUCUGAGAGGACGAUCAGCCACACUGGGACUGAGACACGGCCCAGACUCCUACGGGAGGCAGCAGUGGGGAAUCUUGCGCAAUGGGCGAAAGCCUGACGCAGCGACGCCGCGUGAGGGAAGAAGGCCUUCGGGUUGUAAACCUCUUUCAGCAGGGACGAAGCUACUCGGGUUAACAGCCCAGAGGUGACGGUACCUGUAGAAGAAGCCCCGGCUAACUACGUGCCAGCAGCCGCGGUA
rnacentral:rRNA from 1 species